rnacentral:rRNA from 1 species
UGGGGAAUAUUGGACAAUGGGCGCAAGCCUGAUCCAGCCAUGCCGCGUGAGUGACGAAGGUCUUCGGAUUGUAAAACUCUUUUGGCGGGGACGAUAAUGACGGUACCCGCAGAAUAAGCCCCGGCUAACUUCGUGCCAGCAGCCGCGGUAAUACGAAGGGGACUAGCGUUGUUCGGAAUCACUGGGCGUAAAGCGCACGUAGGCGGAUGUGCCAGUCAGGGGUGAAAUCCCGGAGCUCAACUCCGGAACUGCCUCUGAUACUGCACGUCUUGAGUUCGAGAGAGGUGGGUGGAAUUCCUAGUGUAGAGGUGAAAUUCGUAGAUAUUAGGAAGAACACCGGUGGCGAAGGCGGCCCACUGGCUCGAUACUGACGCUGAGGUGCGAAAGCGUGGGGAGCAAACAGGAUUAGAUACCCGUGUAGUCCCUGAGCGGGCUGGCAAGGCGCAU